rnacentral:tRNA from 3 species
GGAGAGAUGGCUGAGUGGUCGAAAGCGCCGGUUUGCUAAACCGGUGAACCCAGCAAUGGGUUCCGCAGGUUCGAAUCCUGUUCUCUCCGCC